rnacentral:rRNA from 1 species
ACGGAGGGUGCGAGCGUUAUUCGGAAUUACUGGGCGUAAAGCGCGUGCAGGCGGUUUGUUAAGUCUGAUGUGAAAGCCCCGGGCUUAACCUGGGGAGGGCUUUGAAACUGGCGGACUUGAGUACAGGAGAGGAAAGCGGAAUUCCCGGUGUAGCGGUGAAAUGCGUAGAGAUCGGGAGGAACACCAGUGGCGAAGGCGGCUUUCUGGACGGUUACUGACGCUGAGGCGCGAAAGCGUGGGGAGCAAACAG